rnacentral:rRNA from 1 species
AGUUGCCAGCAUUCAGUUGGGCACUCUAAGGUGACUGCCGGCUAAAAGUCGGAGGAAGGUGGGGAUGACGUCAAAUCAUCAUGCCCCUUAUGACCUGGGCUACACACGUGCUACAAUGGGCGGUACAAAGGGUCGCGAACCCGCGAGGGGGAGCCAAUCCCAAAAAGCCGCUCUCAGUUCGGAUUGCAGGCUGCAACUCGCCUGCAUGAAGCCGGAAUCGCUAGUAAUCGCGGAUCAGCAUACCGCGGUGAAUACGUUCCCGGGCCUU